AUCCUGACCUGCUUCUGACAUCCAAGACUUCCAGGUGUAUGAAGGACAAAAGUUGAUCUAACUGCCCUCGGAUGUGGCUCGGUGGGAGGACGCUUGACCAGCAGACUGCCAGGUCUGCUACCAUUCUCUGAUGAAAGUUGGGGGCUCAGACAGAAGCCGGUUCUGAAGAGGGCAAAGAAAACUAUAUGGGCUAUAUGGUUUGAGAAGAGGAGAAAAGCCCAAGGCAGGGAUUCCUUGCCUAGGAAAGGAAGAGAAUGCUACUGGGGUCUAAGACAAGAAAAGCAUAUUAUAGAACAUACAGCAUUAUAGAAACACGUAAGUGAACUCAUGCACACACACACUUUUUUUUUUCUUAAAAAGAUGUAAUCAAUAUCAGAUAUUUUUAGAGCAAACUUUUAUAGUAACUAAACCCAGCAGUGUGACAAGCACUAACCCCAGACCCUGGCCUGCUUAAUAAAUCUCUCCCUUGUAAAGCUGA
rnacentral:lncRNA from 1 species